GCACUGCUGAGGAGUCCCACAAUAGGACGAAACAGUCGUCCCGUGC
rnacentral:hammerhead_ribozyme from 1 species